rnacentral:rRNA from 1 species
GCGGCAGGCCUCAUACAUGCAAGUCGAGCGGUCCUUCGGGACAGCGGCGAACGGGUUAGUAACGCGUGGGAACGUGCCCUUUAGUACGGAAUAGCCAUUGGAAACGAUGAUUAAUACCGUAUACGCCCCAAGGGGGAAAGAUUUAUCGCUAAAGGAUCGGCCCGCGUUAGAUUAGGUAGUUGGUAGGGUAAUGGCCUACCAAGCCGACGAUCUAUAGCUGGUUUGAGAGGAUGAUCAGCAACACUGGGACUGAGACACGGCCCAGACUUCUACGGAAGGCAGCAGUAGGGAAUCUUGGACAAUGGGCGAAAGCCUGAUCCAGCCAUGCCGCGUGAGUGAUGAAGGCCCUAGGGUUGUAAAGCUCUUUCGCCAGGGAAGAUAAUGACGGUACCUGGUAAAGAAACCCCGGCUAACUCCGUGCCAGCAGCCGCGGUAAUACGGAGGGGGUUAGCGUUGUUCGGAAUUACUGGGCGUAAAGCGCACGUAGGCGGAUUAAUAAGUCAGGGGUGAAAUCCCGAGGCUCAACCUCGGAACUGCCUUUGAUACUGUUAAUCUUGAGUUCGAGAGAGGUGAGUGGAAUUCCGAGUGUAGAGGUGAAAUUCGUAGAUAUUCGGAGGAACACCAGUGG